CAUAAAUUGAACUAUAGACC
rnacentral:miRNA from 1 species